rnacentral:misc_RNA from 1 species
AUAGAAGUUCCUGGCAGGUAAAAGGGUUUUGAUCAGAGGGACUUAUCGAGUGUUAUGUAUUGACUUGUAGAAUUUUCCUUUUAAUUAAUUGUAAAGGAAUAGUUUCGGAGUAAUUUUAUGAAUUAAGAUAGGAUUUGGGUUUAAUUAUUAUUUGUGGAUUUGGACCAUUUGAUGCUGGGAUUCUCUAAAUAUUGGCGGUUCUUAUGUUAAUGUCUGUUAU